GUGGGUAGUUUGACUGGGGCGGUCUCCUCCCAAAGCGUAACGGAGGAGCACGAAGGUUAGCUAAUCCUGGUCGGACAUCAGGAGGUUAGUGCAAUGGCAUAAGCUAGCUUGACUGCGAGCGUGACGGCGCGAGCAGGUGCGAAAGCAGGUCAUAGUGAUCCGGUGGUUCUGAAUGGAAGGGCCAUCGCUCAACGGAUAAAAGGUACUCCGGGGAUAACAGGCUGAUACCGCCCAAGAGUUCAUAUCGACGGCGGUGUUUGGCACCUCGAUGUCGGCUCAUCACAUCCUGGGGCUGAAGUAGGUCCCAAGGGUAUGGCUGUUCGCCAUUUAAAGUGGUACGCGAGCUGGGUUUAGAACGUCGUGAGACAGUUCGGUCCCUAUCUGCCGUG
rnacentral:rRNA from 1 species